rnacentral:RNase_P_RNA from 1 species
AAGUGUGUUCGGGUAAUCGCUGCAGCCCUGCUGCAGAGGAAAGUCCAUGCUCGCACAGGCUGAGAUGCCUGUAGUGUUCGUGCCUGGUGAAAAAAUAAGCCAGGGCAGCCGAUUCGGCUGACGGCCGGGAAAAUGCCUAAGUCCUUUGGAUAUGGCAUGAAUACCUGUAAAAGUGCCACAGUGACGGAGCCUUCAAAGAAAUGCGAAGGGUGGAACGAGGUAAACCCCACGAGCGAGAAACCCAAAUUAUGGUAGGGGAGCUUUCUCCACGGAAUUCAACGGAGGAGAAGGACAGGCUUAAGCCUGUAGAUAGAUGAUUACCACCGGAGUACGAGACUUUGUCGCUUGCAGUACAAAGGAACAGAACAUGGCUUACAGAACACAUUGAUGG